AGUGAACGCUGGCGGUAGGCCUAACACAUGCAAGUCGAACGGCAGCACAGUAAGAGCUUGCUCUUACGGGUGGCGAGUGGCGGACGGGUGAGGAAUACAUCGGAAUCUACUUUUUCGUGGGGGAUAACGUAGGGAAACUUACGCUAAUACCGCAUACGACCUACGGGUGAAAGCAGGGGAUCUUCGGACCUUGCGCGAUUGAAUGAGCCGAUGUCGGAUUAGCUAGUUGGCGGGGUAAAGGCCCACCAAGGCGACGAUCCGUAGCUGGUCUGAGAGGAUGAUCAGCCACACUGGAACUGAGACACGGUCCAGAUCCCUCGGGGAGGCGGAAGUGGGGAAUAUUGGACAAGGGGGGAAAGCCUGACCCAGCAAUACGGCGUGGGUGAAGAAGUCCUUCGGGUUGUAAAGCCCUUUUGUUGGGAAAGAAAAGUAGCAGGUUAAUACGCCGCUGUUCUGACGGUACCCUAAGAAUAAGCACCGGCUAACUUCGUG
rnacentral:rRNA from 1 species